ACCUCAUUCUACUGACCAUAGAAGAACUACAGACCUCAACCACCGAAUUAUCCUCACAGAUCAAGACUACCGAAUCCCAAUUGACCUCAACUACACCAGAAGAAGAGUUAGUUGCAACCAAAGAAAGGAUCGACAAACAGCUACUGGAAUACAAAAAAUACGCAGAGCAAGGGAAAAGACAGAAAUUUAUACGGGACGCCGAAGACUACAGACUAGACAGGGUCUAUCGUUGGAAGGGAAACCAGCAACAACAGUUCUAUCGAGGAUACAGACAUCAACACUACUCUGGCUCUUCGGACAGCGACAGAUCCGGGCACUACGAAGCGCGUUUUUUAGGCAACGCCCCAAGGAGGGGCAAAUCAAGAAGAGGAGGACCAGGAGGGGCGGGAGGAAAUCAAGAAGGACGCAUCCAGACUCGUUCCCAGACGCACUGAAAUUGUCCACAGCGGGUUACCUUUGUGAAAUUCGAUCCACUAACCUCUUGGAUCCAGUAUGCUGCGUCCAUGUGACUCAUGUGUAUCUAUUCCUGUGUAUCUUUAUGUCUGGAUGAUGCUGCUCAGGGAACUGUAUAGUCUUUUUCUUGCUAUGCCACAAUAAUGUAUGCCAUACAUCUAUGAAUAUGUGAAUCCGUGAAUAAUGUCCA